rnacentral:rRNA from 1 species
AACGACUCGAAAGGGUCGCUAAUACCGCAUGGUCUCUUUAAGUUUAGAAAUUAGAGAGUAAAGGAUUUAUUCGCUUCGAGAGGAGCCUGCGUCCCAUCAGCUAGUUGGUAGGGUAACGGCCUACCAAGGCUAUGACGGGUAGGGGACCUGAGAGGGUGACCCCCCACAAUGGAACUGAAACACGGUCCAUACACCUACGGGUGGCAGCAGUAGGGAAUAUUAGAAAUGGACGAAAGUCUGAUCUAGCAACACCGCGUGUGCGAAGAAGGCCCUCGGGUCGUAAAGCACUUUUUGGAAGGAAUAGGAAGGAAGGUACUUCCAGAAUAAGUCUCGGCUAACUACGUGCCAGCAGCCGCGGUAACACGUAGGAGGCGAACGUUAUCCGGAUUUACUGGGCGUAAAGCGCGUGUAGGUGGUACUGUAAGUAGGGCGUGAAAGCUCCCGGCUCAACUGGGAGAGGCCGUUCUAAACUGCAGUACUUGAGGAUGGUAGAGGGAGGUGGAAUUCCGGGUGUAGCGGUGGAAUGCGCAGAUAUCCGGAGGAACACCAGUGGCGAAAGCGGCCUCCUGGACCACUCCUGACACUCAGACGCGAAAGCUAGGGUAGCAAACGGGAUUAGAGACCCCGGUAGUCCUAGCCCUAAACGAUG